UCCCCCGUGGUGUAAUGGGCAGCACGACUUACUUUGGAUAAGUUGGUUCAGGUUCGAGUCCUGGCGGGGGAG
rnacentral:tRNA from 1 species